GAUGAACGCUGGCGGCGUGCCUAAUACAUGCAAGUCGAGCGAACAGACGAGGAGCUUGCUCCUCUGACGUUAGCGGCGGACGGGCGAGUAACACGUGGAUAACCUACCUAUAAGACUGGGAUAACUUCGGGAAACCGGAGCUAAUACCGGAUAAUAUAUUGAACCGCAUGGUUCAAUAGUGAAAGACGGUUUUGCUGUCACUUAUAGAUGGAUCCGCGCCGCAUUAGCUAGUUGGUAAGGUAACGGCUUACCAAGGCAACGAUGCGUAGCCGACCUGAGAGGGUGGUCGGCCACACUGGAACUGAGACACGGUCCAGACUCCUACGGGAGGCAGCAGUAGGGAAUCUUCCGCAAUGGGCGAAAGCCUGACGGAGCAACGCCGCGUGAGUGAUGAAGGUCUACGGAUCGUAAAACUCUGUUAUUAGGGAAGAACAAAUGUGUAAGUAACUAUGCACGUCUUGACGGUACCUAAUCAGAAAGCCACGGCUAACUACGUG
rnacentral:rRNA from 1 species